AAUGACAAGCAGGAGAUUACUUAAGAUUUUUGCAGCUUGGCUCUCCAUUUUAUUUUGCUAACUGCAAUUAUAUUAGAGAAAAAAUUCUGAGAUAGAUUAAAGAUGAAGAUUCUAAAGGAAAAGACAUUGAGUAUUUACUACUACAUUUUGGAGGUAAAUAUUUUAAAAAAAUAUUUUUCACUUACAUUUUGAAUUUUUAAAAAUAGUUAUUUUAAUAUGUUAACUAAAUUGCAUAUAUUAACUAUUGAGGCAUGAACUCGAUGAGAUAU